rnacentral:rRNA from 1 species
UGUUGCACAAUGGGGGAAACCCUGAUGCAGCGACGCCGCGUGAGCGAAGAAGUAUUUCGGUAUGUAAAGCUCUAUCAGCUGGGAAGAAAAUGACGGUACCUGAGUAAGAAGCUCCGGCUAAAUACGUGCCAGCAGCCGCGGUAAUACGUAUGGAGCAAGCGUUAUCCGGAUUUACUGGGUGUAAAGGGAGCGCAGGCGGUCUGGCAAGUCUGAUGUGAAAUACCGGGGCUCAACUCCGGGACUGCAUUGGAAACUGUCAGACUGGAGUGUCGGAGAGGUAAGUGGAAUUCCUAGUGUAGCGGUGAAAUGCGUAGAUAUUAGGAGGAACACCAGUGGCGAAGGCGGCUUACUGGACUGUAACUGACGUUGAGGCUCGAAAGCGUAGGGAGCAAACAGG